rfam:Papilio machaon contig44806, whole genome shotgun sequence.
GUAGGGUACGGUGACAUGGCGCCGAAAACGUAUCUAGGCAUGUUCGUGGGCGCGCUCUGUGCAUUGGCCGGCGUCUUGACUAUCGCUCUGCCAGUGCCAGUGAUCGUCUCAAAC